rnacentral:rRNA from 1 species
UACGUAGGGUGCAAGCGUUAAUCGGAAUUACUGGGCGUAACGCGUGCGCAGGCGGUCUUGCAAGACAGAUGUGAAAUCCCCGGGCUACAACCCGUGGAACUGGACAUUUGUGACUGCAUCGCUGGAGUACGGCAGAGGGGGAUGGAAUUCCGCGUGUAGCAGUGAAAUGCGUAGAUAUCUGGAGGAAUACCGGUGGCGAAGGCGGCAUCCUGGACCGACAUUGACGCUGAGGAGCGAAAGCUAGGGGAGCAAACGGG